rnacentral:lncRNA from 1 species
GAAUAAAUGUGACUUUGGUGAAUGAAUUAAAGAACUUAUGGUUUUUUUUAGAUGAAAACGGUUUUCUACCCCUCGUGGUAGCGUGUUUUAAAGAAAAGAGUUUCCGUGUGGGAAACGGUUUUGAAAAGGUUUUUGUUGGUUUUCAUAACUCUUAGUAAUUCAAAAUAAGUUUUCAGGUGGGAAACAUUUUAAACUGAUAGAUGUGCAUUUAUGGAUAUUUGUAAUGAAAUGAAUGUAAUGUGAAUAGUGAAUGUAUGUGUAUGCUCAUACUGUUACGGUUGUAUAUUGUGUUUGUGCGAUCAGUGCAAAUACAGAGGAGACUCUGUCCGUGUGAACAGUAGAUUUUCUGUAUUUGUGGCGAAUCUGGCAUACUCUGGG